AUAUCUGUUCGGGCAUUCUCAAUACAAACUACUUAUUCUCCAGGUGGCUAUUUUUCACAGCUCCAACAAAUGGGAGCAAGGCGGAAAUUGCUUUCUACGAGUUGGAAUUCGUAGGAUUCAUUGGACCCACUCAGACAUGAGGAACACCGGAUCCGAUGGGAAAACUUCGUCUUGAUCACACUUAAAAACGUCCAUCGCAACUUUUGAGUUCAUCAACAAAAUGGUUUGCUUUUUAUAAAUUGCUUUUGGUAAAUGA